CAGAAUUCAAAUUUAACGGAAAUUAUAAAGCGGUGAGAAAACCGAAGAGUUAUAAUUAAAUAUUUAAUCAAAUAUAGCACCCAGAAACGACUCCGAAGCUUAUCUUUAGAGAUUUGAUGGAGGAGCCCAAUACCCAGAUGCUGUCGAAGAGCUUCAUGCUCUCGUGCAUGCGGUUCUGUGAGAGCACAGAGGAACAGAUCAGAGAAAAGCAGCACAGCGCGCAGGAGAGGACACGAUGCGACCGUGAAGCCGGGUCUUACUAUCUCCGCGUCCUCGGCUAACACCAGGUCGUAGGCGCUCAUGGCCACGCAGAAGAUGAUGGCGGUGACGCCCUCGAAGCAGUGGAUCCAUUUCUUCCUCUCCGAGCGCUGGCCUCCCACAUCGAACAUCCUGUGUAAAAGGAAAUGUUCACUUUGUGCUUUCCGGUGCCAAUAUACAAAAUAAAUCAACUGAAAGUGUCACGUA